CAUGAGUCUAUGCUAGGAUUUAGGAUCAUCUCACUAUAGCGAGUAACAUCUGAGGUGACAUCUCCGCUGCAUGGAUGCCCAUUGUUCUUCCAACAACUGCCGAUGUCCAUAAGGAUCACCAAUGGCUGAAAAUUGUUCUUGAUUGGAAGAGAUCACUGAGUUGAAAAAUGCAAUUGCGAGAACCGAUACAACACAAAACUGCUGCAGAAACAUUAUUAGCAAGUGUGUUCAAAACAAAUUUUCUGACUUCAUAACUAGUUUGGCAGCAUAGUAUAUAUACAGGAACUUUAGAUAAUAAACGAAGCCUUUGUGUUUUACACAUUUUUGCA